GUUGAUAUCAAGAAUACAUAUCCUGCGAAUGAAUAAAAGUCAAUUCGGCUUGCCAUAGCCAGCGAGUCUGAGCCAAUCACAAAGUUCAGAACGACUGACGCACAUACGUCAUAUACUUGCAGGCCUUUGUGACGCGCGAGUCGUGAAUCAACUGAUGUUGUGUUUAAAUGAACUCUCUGCGUGAUUUCCCAAGAUUUCCACGCCACGAAAUGUAUGAGGAAAUGUCAGUAGAAAGAAACUGGACGGACACCGAGACGAGAGCGCUGCUGUACAUACGACAGGACGAAGAUAUCAGCAGGCAAAUCAGCGGAACGGUUCGCGAUUCUCUUAUUUACGCUGAAAUCUCAAGGCUUCUCCGCGCGCAAGGUAUCCACAGAACCAAGCGGCAGGUCACCACCAAACUGAAAACACUCAAGCAGAAGUUCCUGAAAAUACACGAGCAUCACAAAAACAACGGGCACGGCAGAGUGUACUGGAAUUAUUAUGAUCUCUGCACGUCCAUUUGGGGCAGCAACCGCCCCGCGGACGCUUUAAUACUUCACAGCAACGUGAAACUCGAAGAGCCGCAGAGUACGUCCAUUGAGGACGCGCGAAAUGAGCGCAGAUCCACCGACAUCGAGGAGGUGUCGGUCAGUCACGACGAGGAGACGGAGGACGUGGCAGACGAGCUGAAACUGAGAAUGAAAGUGCAAUCUCACAUGAAGAAGAGGAGGAGGAGGAAGAGAAAUACGUUAUUCCAGCUGAGAUUGCACCUGUUAACUGUGGAAACGACAGCCAAUCAAACACAGCAGAGACUGUUUCACCCCCGCCUACACAAUCAGCAGGAAAGAGCGAUCUGGAGAUGUCUGUGCUACGCAGACAGGAAAGAGUCUUACAGCUUCAGGAAGAGUACUAUUCACUCAAAAUCAACUAUUUGAAACACAAGAUGACCAAGGAUCCAUGACAGAAUGCUAAAGAGGAGUGUUAACUCUUUUGCUCUUUCAGUCUGUGAAAACUUGCAAUGUAGAUGUUCUCAGCUGGACUGUGGAAAAUACUGGUGUGUAUGCGUCUGCACACCUCAUAUUCCUUAUAACUCUUAUUACAUAUUUUAACCAGUAGAUGGCUAGGUGGUCACUUCAUAUUUCCUGGUGUCAUUAGACAUGUGCAAGACAGAUUUACAGCUAAGGCUUGGUUUUUCUUUAAAUAUAUGAAUAUUUAUAUACAUUUGCUCAUUUUUAUGGCAGUUUACUAGCAGGUGUUUUUGAGGCAUUAUUUAGCAAAACUCUCCAUUUUCUCCACUAAACGUUACUGGUCUUAUUAUAAAAGAUUUAGUUUGUUGUGUAACAAUCAAUCACACAAUUAUGUCACAAUCAAUUUCUGAUGGAUAACAGUCUUGCUUUUUCUUCCCAUCUGAGGUUCUGUUUAGCACAUUAUGGCUGUAAAAUGGGUUGCAAAUGCAGUUUAAUGUUGACUAUAGGAACUACCCUGAGCUAGAUGUUACACUUCUACUGUGGAGUAUGUCUGUUACCAUUAUUUUUCAUUAAAUUAAUGAAAACCAGCGAGGAGUCAGAAACAGUAUGCAAAAUACUAAAUCAAAAGCAAAAGUCUUUUUCAAAGAAUUGUUUAAAGCAGGGAUUCCCAAACUCUUUUUUUAGUCAAACCCCCUUUGAACUAAAAUAUUUUCUUGAGAUUUUAAUUUAUUUGAAGAUUGCAUGUUCACGGUUCUGUGAUGUCAGUUAAUGGUCACAUGGCAUGCAGGUAAACAAAUAAAAUAUUGUUUUUAUUUUGAAGGUAUUUAUUUAAUUUGCAUUAUAAUUUAUAUAUAUAUAUAUAUAUAUAUAUAU
ensembl:lncRNA